rnacentral:rRNA from 1 species
UGGGUCAUUAGAGGAAGUAAAAGUCGUAACAAGGGUUUCCGUAGGUGAACCUGCGGAAGGAUCAUUAUUGAAUAAACCUGAUGUGGUUGUAGCUGGCCCUUUCGGGAGCAUGUGCACACCCGUCGUCUUUAUCUUUCCACCUGUGCACCUUUUGUAGACCUGGAUGUAACACUUUCCGAGGCAACUCGGUCGGGAGGAAUGCUGUCAGCUUUCCUUGAAUGUCCAGGCCUAUGUUUUCAUAUACCCCAAAGAAUGUAACAGAAUGUAUUAUUGGGCCUUGUGCCUAUAAACUAUAUACAACUUUCAGCAACGGAUCUCUUGGCUCUCGCAUCGAUGAAGAACGCAGCGAAAUGCGAUAAGUAAUGUGAAUUGCAGAAUUCAGUGAAUCAUCGAAUCUUUGAACGCACCUUGCGCUCCUUGGUAUUCCGAGGAGCAUGCCUGUUUGAGUGUCAUUAAAUUCUCAACCUUACCAGCUUUUGUUGGUAAUGGCUUGGAUGGGGGGGGUCUUUUGCUGGCUUCGUAAAGAGGUCUGCUCCCCUUAAAUGCAUUAGCCGGUGCCCUGCGUGGAUCCGUCUAUUGGUGUGAUAAUUAUCUACGCCGUGGACGUCUGCUUUAAAUGGGACGCACUGCUUCUAACCGUCCGUUCAGUUGGACAAUCAAUGACAAUUUGACCUCAAAUCAGGUAGGACUACCCGCUGAACUUAAGCAUAUCAAUAAGCGGGAGGAA